CUUUAUAGGAAGAAGAAGAUCAACCACACUAAGUUUAGAAUUGUUGGAAAUGUUCUCAAUAGCUUGUUGCACAGUAUUCCUAACAUGAUCGUUGGGAUGUAGGAGUUCUAAAAAAAAGGGAGAAAAUGCAUUAAUUAUAUUAUUAGCACGCUCUUUCGGUGCAAGCACAUCCUGAAGUAUACAGAAUUGAGUUGUAAUAUCAACGAUGAAAGAACGAACUUCGGUUAAUUUUAAAACCCCAUAAUCGGUUGGAGUAUCCUUGAGAAUAAAGAACAAAGCCUUCAAUAUGUCGUGUAAUCUAUCUUGGAUCCAA